rnacentral:rRNA from 1 species
GAUGAACGCUGGCGGCGUGCCUAAUACAUGCAGGUCGAGCGAAUGGACUAAGAGCUUGCUCUUAUGAAGUUAGCGGCGGACGGGUGAGUAACACGUGGGUAACCUGCCCAUAAGACUGGGAUAACUCCGGGAAACCGGGGCUAAUACCGGAUAACAUUUUGAACCGCAUGGUUCGAAAUUGAAAGGCGGCUUCGGCUGUCACUUAUGGAUGGACCCGUGUCGCAUUAGCUAGUUGGUGAGGUAACGGCUCACCAAGGCAACGAUGCGUAGCCGACCUGGGAGGGUGAUCGGCCACACUGGGACUGAGACACGGCCCAGACUCCUACGGGAGGCAGCAGUAGGGAAUCUUCCGCAAUGGACGAAAGUCUGACGGAGCAACGCCGCGUGAGUGAUGAAGGCUUUCGGGUCGUAAAACUCUGUUGUUAGGGAAGAACAAGUGCUAGUUGAAUAAGCUGGCACCUUGACGGUACCUAACCAGAAAGCCACGGCUAACUACGUGCCAGCCGCCGCAGUAA